UCGAGGGGCAGCAUGGUCUUAGCUUGCUAAGGCCGAUGGCGACCGGCGCACGGGUGAGUAACACGUAUCCAACCUGCCGUCUACUCUUGGACAGCCUUCUGAAAGGAAGAUUAAUACAAGAUGGCAUCAUGAGUCCGCAUGUUCACAUGAUUAAAGGUAUUCCGGUAGACGAUGGGGAUGCGUUCCAUUAGAUAGUAGGCGGGGUAACGGCCCACCUAGUCUUCGAUGGAUAGGGGUUCUGAGAGGAAGGUCCCCCACAUUGGAACUGAGACACGGUCCAAACUCCUACGGGAGGCAGCAGUGAGGAAUAUUGGUCAAUGGGCGAGAGCCUGAACCAGCCAAGUAGCGUGAAGGAUGACUGCCCUAUGGGUUGUAAACUUCUUUUAUAAAGGAAUAAAGUCGGGUAUGGAUACCCGUUUGCAUGUACUUUAUGAAUAAGGAUCGGCUAACUCCGUGCCAGCAGCCGCGGUAAUACGGAGGAUCCGAGCGUUAUCCGGAUUUAUUGGGUUUAAAGGGAGCGUAGAUGGAUGUUUAAGUCAGUUGUGAAAGUUUGCGGCUCAACCGUAAAAUUGCAGUUGAUACUGGAUGUCUUGAGUGCAGUUGAGGCAGGCGGAAUUCGUGGUGUAGCGGUGAAAUGCUUAGAUAUCACGAAGAACUCCGAUUGCGAAGGCAGCCUGCUAAGCUGCAACUGACAUUGAGGCUCGA
rnacentral:rRNA from 1 species